AGCACAUGGACUUGCUGUGGGACUGCUGUCCUCAGGUGGUCAAGUGGUUCUAGGGGUCAGAGCUGCCUCAGGAAAAUGGUGGCAGCCUGGCUGGUUACUUGCUGGUGGAUGGAGACGUUGCGUUCAAGGUCGCAGCGAGUGCUUGGUGGCACUGAAGUCACAGAGCCAGUUUGACCCUGGCUGUGCAGGGCCACUCUUACAAAGCUGGGAGCAGAGGACAAGCAGCCCUCCGUGUCUCCAUCCUGCACUGGAAGACCAGCUCUCUGUUGAGCCCACCUUAACCUGUGCCAUGGGUGACCUGUGCUUUGUGGUUUGGUGUGAUGGGACCUGAG